CCUACGGGAGGCAGCAGUGGGGAAUAUUGGGCAAUGGGCGCAAGCCUGACCCAGCAACGCCGCGUGAAGGAAGAAUGCUUUCGGGUUGUAAACUUCUUUUAUCAGGGACGAAGCAAGUGACGGUACCUGCUGAAUAAGCCACGGCUAACUACGUGCCAGCAGCCGCGGUAAUACGUAGGUGGCCAGCGUUAUCCGGAUUUACUGGGUGUAAAGGGCGUGGAGGCGGGAGUGUAAGUCAGAUGUGAAAACUAUGGGCUCAACCCAUAGCCUGCAUUUGAAACUGUACUUCUUGAGUGCUGGGGAGGAAAGCGGAAUUCCGUGUGUAGCGGUGAAAUGCGUAGAUAUACGGAGGAACACCAGUGGCGAAGGCAGAUUGCUGGACAGUAACUGACGCUGAGGCGCGAAAGCGUGGGGAGCAAACAGGAUUAGAUACCCGAGUAGUC
rnacentral:rRNA from 1 species